rnacentral:rRNA from 1 species
CUUAAAAUCUACAAGGUUUUUUAAUUUUGUCGAGUUGUAGCUUAUGGAGGCAGUUUUCAGGUUUUAGUGGGGUACAAGUCCUUUUGAAUAAGGCAUCAGAGAGGGUGAAAGUCCCGUCCUUGACCUUGCUACAAAAUCUAAUGUAAGCUGUUUUCUUAGAGUCGGGUUGUUUGGGAAUGCAGCCCUAAUUAGGAGGUAAAUUUCUUCUAAAGCUAAAUAUAAGCAAGAGACCGAUAGCAUACAAGUACCGUGAGGGAAAGAUGAAAAGCACUUUGAAAAGAGAGUGAAAAGUACGUGAAAUUGUUGGAAGGGAACCGUUUCUUAGCCAAGCUUUGCGGGCAGUUUGCAGCUUUCGGGUUGUAGAUUGUCAGCAGGGUCAACAUCGGUUACCAUUACUGGUUGGAUAGGGGAGCUUUGAGUAAGGUAGAAAUGCGAUGGAAUGUUUUCUUCGGGGGAUAUUUUAUAUAAAGUUGCGUUUUGUUAUAGACUCUUGGGCUCAAUCCUUAGCAGCUGGGGUGACCGAGGAACGCAAUGUGUGCUUGGAUUUAUCUGGGCAGGAGGUGGUUGCUUGAUUGCGAGGUUGUAUAUUUAUUGAGACAGCUUGCUGACUUUUUAGGUGUAUAGUUUUAAUCAUGGUAGCUAAUUCUCACUUACUCACAUUAAGGAUGUUGACGAAAAGGCAACAAACGACCCGUCUUGAAACACGGACCAAGGAGUCCAGCAUGCAUGCAAGUAUUUGGGAAUAAUAAACCCAUAUGCGCAAUGAAAGUGAUUUCUAAUUUUAAAGUCAAUCUGAGCAUUUUAUGUGAAGAGGCAGCUUUGACCGACCUCAGAUAGCGUUGCUUGAGAGGUUUGAGUAAGAGCAUGUAUGUUGGGACCCGAAAGAUGGUGAACUAUGCCUGAAUAGGGUGAAGUCAGAGGAAACUCUGAUGGAAGCUCGUAGAGAUUCUGACGUGCAAAUCGAUCUCGGAAUUUGGGUAUAGGGGCGAAAGACUAAUCGAACCAUCUAGUAGCUGGUUCCUGCCGAAGUUUCCCUCAGGAUAGCAGAGACUGGAAUAAAAGCAGUUUUACGAGGUAAAGCGAAUGAUUAGAGGCCUUGGGGAUGUAACAUCCUUAACCUAUUCUCAAACUUUAAAUGCGUAAGAAGCCCUAGCUGCUUAAUUGAGCUUGGGCGGAAAAAUGUACUCUGUACUAUUUUUAUUCGAAUGCAUCAGUCUUUAGUGGGCCAUUUUUGGUAAGCAGAACUGGCGAUGCGGGAUGAACCGAACGUAAAGUUAAGGUGCCUAAAUGCACGCUCAUGUAGACACCAUAAAAGGUGUUAGUUCAUCUAGACAGCAGGGCGGUGGCCAUGGAAGUCGGAAUCCGCUAAGGAGUGUGUAACAACUCACCUGCCGAAUGAACUAGCCCUGAAAAUGGAUGGCGCUUAAGCGAGCUACCGAUACUUUACCGUUAAAAGGCAGCUUUUAAUUUAUUAUUGGCUGAAGAUUCUUUUAACGAGUAGGCAGGCGUGGAGGUUAUAGUUGCGAAGCUAUGGACGUGAGUUCUAGUGGAACAGCC